rnacentral:rRNA from 1 species
AUGCAAGUUGAACGGUUGAUACAGGGUAGCAAUAUUCUGUGUUAGCAGUGGCGUAAGGGUGCUUAACACGUGGGUAAUCUGCCGCGAAGUGUGGGAUAACUCGCUGAAAGGCGAGCUAAUACCGCAUGUGAUUUUCUUGAGGCAUCUCAGGGAAUUCAAACAUGGGUUGCAAGACCUGUGGUUUCGCGAUGAGCCCGCGGCCUAUCAGCUAGUUGGCGGGGUAAAGGCCCACCAAGGCUAAGACGGGUAGCUGGUCUGAGAGGACGACCAGCCACACUGGAACUGAGACACGGUCCAGACACCUACGGGUGGCAGCAGUCGAGAAUUUUUCACAAUGGGGGAAACCCUGAUGGAGCGACGCCGCGUGGGGGAUGAAGGGCUUCGGUUCGUAAACCCCUGUCAUUGGCGAACAAGUGUUACGUUCUAAUACAGCGUGACUUGAUAGUAGCCGAAGAGGAAGGGACGGCUAACUCUGUGCCAGCAGCCGCGGUAAUACAGAGGUCCCNAGCGUUGUUNGGAUUCACUGGGCGUAAAGGGUGCGUAGGUGGUUGGUUAAGUUUGAGGUGAAAGCUCCGAGCUCAACUCGGAAAAUGCCUUGAAGACUAUCUGACUAGAGGAUUGGAGGGGAGAUUGGAAUUCUCGGUGUAGCAGUGAAAUGCGUAGAUAUCGAGAGGAACACCAGUG